GGCUCUGCUGCUCCAGCUGAAGCUGGAGCUGCCCUUCGACCGCGUGGUCACCAUCGGGACCGUCCUUAUCCCCAUCCUCCUCGUCACCCUCGUCUUCACCAAGAACUUUGCCGGACAAGUGGUUUCAGAGAUUGGGCAAAAAAGGCUUUGCUGAUCAUGGAGAAAUUUGUACCUUAGGAAGACUUCAUGGGCAUGGAACCUGUAUUCAGUCUGGAAGCAAUAUUCCCUAAGAAAGAGAGAAGAGGAUCCAGGACAUUUCUUCUUUUCCAUUUAAAAAUUGCUGAAAAAGUACUAAAUAAAUUAUUUCUGUUUCUAAAAAUAAACAGUUUGCUACCUGCUUUCUUGUGCAAUCCUUUUAGUACCCAAGAUGAAUGAGGCAUGUAUGUCAGAUUGCUUACAUGUAUG
rnacentral:lncRNA from 1 species